rnacentral:tRNA from 1 species
GGUAGCUCAGCGGUAGAGCAACCGGCUGUUAACCGGUUGGUCGCUGGUUCGAAUCCGGCCCGGGGAGCCA